rnacentral:tRNA from 1 species
GAGGGUAUAGCUCAGUGGCAGAGCACAUGCUUAGCAUGCACAAGGUCCUGGGUUCAGUCCCCAGUGCCUCCU